rnacentral:sRNA from 1 species
CAUCAUCAACACCUACACCAAUAACUAAAAAGGGUACGGUUUCAGC